GGGUGCUUAGCUCAGCUGGGAGAGCGUCGCCCUUACAAGGCGAAGGUCGCGGGUUCGAUCCCCUCAGCACCCA
rfam:Gammaproteobacteria bacterium RIFCSPHIGHO2_12_FTLL_37_14 rifcsphigho2_12_scaffold_2890, whole genome shotgun sequence.